CCAAUAGCGUAUAUUAAAGUUGUUGCAGUUAAAAAGCUCGUAGUUGAAUUUCGGGGUUAGUAAGUUGGUCAUGCCAUUGGUAUGCACUGGCUUUACUGAUUCCUCCUUCUUGACGAACCGUGAUGUCAUUAAUUUGGUGUUGCGGGAAAUCAGGACUGUUACUUUGAAAAAAUUAGAGUGUUUAAAGCAGGCUAACGCUUGAAUACAUUAGCAUGGAAUAAUGAAAUAGGACGUUAAUCCUAUUUUGUUGGUUUCUAGGAUCGACGUAAUGAUUAAUAGGGAUAGUUGGGGGCAUUAGUAUUCAAUUGUCAGAGGUGAAAUUCUUGGAUUUAUUGAAGACUAACUACUGCGAAAGCAUUUGCCAAGGAUGUUUUCAUUAAUCAAGAACGAAAGUUAGGGGAUCGAAGACGAUCAGAUACCGUCGUAGUCUUAACCAUAAACUAUGCCGACUAGGGAUCGGAUGAUGUUAAUUCUUUAAUGACUCAUUCGGCGCCUUACG
rnacentral:rRNA from 1 species